rnacentral:rRNA from 1 species
AGAAGGGCAUUCGGUGGAUGCCUUGGCGUCGAGAGGCGAUGAAGGACGUGAUACGCUGCGAUAAGCUGUGGGGAGCCGCGAAUAGGCCUUGAUCCGCAGAUUUCCGAAUGGGGAAACCCCACCCUUUUGGGUGACCGUGAGCUGAAUACAUAGGCUCAUGGGGCGAACCCGGUGAACUGAAAUAUCUCAGUAGCCGGAGGAAAGGACAUCAACAGAGACUCCGCUAGUAGUGACGAGCGAACGCGGACCAGGCCAGUGGCACCUUAGAAGCAACCGGAAUCGUCUGGAAAGGCGAGCGAGAGUGGGUGAUAGCCCCGUACGGAUCAAGCUUCUCUGGUGUCCUCGAGUAGGGCGGGGCACGUGAAACCCUGUCUGAAUUUAGGGGGACCACCCUCUAAGCCUAAGUACUCCUCGACGACCGAUAGUGAACAAGUACCGUGAGGGAAAGGUGAAAAGCACCCCGAUGA